AGGACGAACGCUGGCGGCGUGCUUAACACAUGCAAGUCGAGCGGUAAGGCCUUUCGGGGUACGCGAGCGGCGAACGGGUGAGUAACACGUGGGUGAUCUGCCCUGCACUCUGGGAUAAGCCUGGGAAACUGGGUCUAAUACCGGAUAUGACCUGCUCUCGCAGUGGGGGGUGGGUGGAAGGAUUUAUCGGUGCAGGAUGGGCCCGCGGCCUAUCAGCUUGGUUGGUGGGUAAUGGCCUACCGAAGGCGACGACGGGUAGCCGACCUGAGAGGGUGACCGGCCACGGCUGGGACUGAGACACGGCCCAGACUCCGUAACGGGAGCAGCAGGUGGGAAUAUGCACGAAGUGGGACGAAAGCCGUGAAUGCAGCCGACGCCGCGUGAGGA
rnacentral:rRNA from 1 species